rnacentral:rRNA from 1 species
UACGUAGGGAGCAAGCGUUGUCCGGAAUUACUGGGCGUAAAGCGCGCGUAGGCGGCUUUGCAAGUCGGGUGUGAAAUCCCCAGGCUUAACCUGGGAACUGCAUUCGAGACUGCAUUGCUAGAGUAUGGGAGAGGGAAGUGGAAUUUCCGGUGUAGCGGUGAAAUGCGUAGAUAUCGGAAGGAACAUCAGUGGCGAAAGCGACUUCCUGGACCAAUACUGACGCUCAUGUGCGAAAGCGUGGGGAGCAAACAGG